rnacentral:rRNA from 1 species
GACGAACGCUGGCGGCGUGCUUAACACAUGCAAGUCGAACGGAAAGGCCCUGCUUGCAGGGUACUCGAGUGGCGAACGGGUGAGUAACACGUGGGUGAUCUGCCCUGCACUUCGGGAUAAGCCUGGGAAACUGGGUCUAAUACCGGAUAGGAGCCAGUUGUAGUGUGAUGGUUGGAGAGUUUUUUCGGUGUAGGAUGAGCUCGCGGCCUAUCAGCUUGUUGGUGGGGUAAUGGCCUACCAAGGCGGCGACGGGUAGCCGGCCUGAGAGGGUGGACGGCCACAUUGGGACUGAGAUACGGCCCAGACUCCUGCGGGAGGCAGCAGUGGAGAAUAUUGCACCAUGGGCGCACGCCUGAUGCAGCGACGCCGCGUGGGGGAUGACGGACUUCGGGUUGUAAACUCCUUUCGCUAGGGACGAAGCUUUUUGUGACGGUAACUAGAUAAGAAGCACCGGCUAACUACGUG